rnacentral:lncRNA from 1 species
CACGGACGCAGCAUCAUGGGGUCAAUUUUGUUUCCCAGAACUUCCCCUCCUCCUCCGCCUUGUCCCCUUCCUCUGCUCUAUCGGUCUCUGUCCUAGUUUGGUUUCCUUUAUCACAGCACAAUUCCUAAUAGCCAAGCUAUGGAGCCAGCCUAGGUGUCCGAAAAUGGAUGAGUGGAAAAGGAAACGUGGUCUCUUCACACAAUGGAGAAAGCUCUGAAUAAAGAUUCGGCCAUGAAGAAGAAUGAAAUCAUGCCAUUUCCAGGACAAUGGAUGGAACUUGAGAGCACUAUGUCAAGUGAAGUGAGCCAAACUCAGAAAGUCAAGGGUCAUAUGUCUCCCUCCUAUGUGAAAGCUAGAGGGGAAAGAGCAGAGGUUUUCUUGGCCGGCUAAAAGGCCAGCAUCCCGUGGAGGUGCUCCCACUCAAGCGUUCCCCUGGACGGAUGACCUGACUUCGUCCCCCCUUGCCAUCUGGUUUUUACCAGAGAGAAGCAAGGUGAGUGUGAAGAUCCCAGGAGAAAUCUCUUGGAAGACCGCAAGAUGCGACUUCACAUGCCAGUGGUCCAGCCCUGCGACCCAGUGGACGGUUUUUGGGAAAUUCGCCCCAGUCUCGCCUGGCCUUUCCUGCCGUCCUUCCCAAAGAGGCCAGGGCUAGUGAGGGAAAGGUGGCUUUGUUAGGAGGAGGAGCUCAUGCAGGACGCCUGUCUGUCACAGGGAUGCUCAGGUGCACCUGUCAGCCGCUGUCUUGUGGGGUGGGCGGGGAAGAAGUGGCUUCCCCUUCCUACUUCUGAGUCAUAGGUCAGGUAUAAAUCAUGCCCUUUCCCUCACACAGCCACCUCGAGGCGCCGGAUAAACGCCCUGGCUCAGCGUCGUAAGCAGGGGGUUGCUCCCAGCAGACUCUGCAGAGCAGCUGGUUGCAGCUGUGCACCUGCCCAGUGUGUGGGGGGUUCCUGGUGCCCCACAGCCAGGUGGCCUCUCUGGUCUUCCUCAGCCUUUCCCCACUGACUUCCUGAAAGUCAACCUUGCUGGGAUCCCAGGAGGCAGCAGAAGGCUCCGUACACCUAUGACGGUGCCCUGGGCGGGCACACAGGGACAUAGAAGAGGGACCAGCAUGUUUGCCCUGUGAACCCAAGAAUGGCUGAACUGCACGGGCCUGUGUCCUCCUCUCUACAAUGGGAUGCCUCAUGUUUAUUCCUGAAUUUUCUUGCUUCUGUCAGGAAUCUGAUCAGAGUUUAAGUCAGUUUUCUAAGCCUUGUCUCUUUUGAAGUGAAAUAUUUAAUUUUCCCAUGGAAGGAAAUGAAAGUCUCAGAAACGAAAUGGGAGAUGUUUCAGGGUGUGUGUCGGAGGCUACAGGUGCUCUCCUUGUCCUCAGAACACUCCUGCCGUUUUACUCUUUAAAAUGUGCAGUAUGAUUGCUUCUGAGAUAGGUGUAUAGAAUGACUCACGUGCUAUCACCUCCACCCAAUCUUCUUGGCUGUCUUGCCUUGGACAGAGGUUCCCCAAGAGGGACGGUGUCCUCUUAUCCGGUUUCCCACUCCCCAGAGCCAGGUGUUUCCUAAGUGUGCCCGGGGCUGUUGAAAGGACAUGUCAGUUGGGCAACUAGACUGUCUGUGCGUGGAGGGCAGGAACCGACCUGUCCUGUUCACCCUUUCUUGUCCAGUUCACUGCAUCUGACUUCAGAGCAGUGGCCAGUCAUGUAACUGCUAAUGAGUUUCCUUAUCAAAUGGAGUUCUAAAUGGGCUUACGUGAAAGGGCAAAUGGCCCAAUAGACAGCCCUGGGAAAGGUGCCAAACUGGAAAUCCCACGUUCAGGAGGUGACUAUGCACGGUAGGGAGGCUGGGCCCAUCCUAGCUAACCCUGAAGAGACCUCAGAAUCAGAAACACUGUGCAUUGCCAGCUGCAAGCAAGCCUCCCGCCUGCCACUCCCUCCUGCCUGCCACUCCCUCCUGCCUCCCUCUGCUACACAACCCCCCCACCCCCCCACCCCCGCACUUGCC